CUGGCAGCAGGGCCAGGCACCGCAGCACCAUGCCCAUUCUAGGGAAAGGUUCUGCCCUCCCAGCCCAUCAUCCGGCAUGUGGCUUCUUUAGUGAUACUGUGCCCCACCAGGAGGGGUGAGCAGGAGGGCAGAGGAAGAGCCCAUUGCUGAUUCUGCUUGCCAAGGUUCUUGGGUCUACUUCUUACUGGGUUGUGCCUGUUUUGCCAUCCCUGGGUGAUGCCCCUGAUUCUUCCUGGUUCCUAGCCUGACUCUGCCUGGGACACACCCUGUGGCUCUCUGGAGGUCUCUGGACCUGGCUGUGCUGCCUAGCUGGGAUCCCUUGCCGUGUGUUUAUUUCCAUGUUAUUUCUGCCUAAAUGAGGAGUAGGAUGCUGUUUCCUGACCUGUGGAUUUGGGACAAACCCCUAACGAUUCCAUCCCUGAACCAUGGUGACUUAAGGCUCUUCAACCUGUAAAAUGGGAGGGUAGUGCCUACUUCACCAUAGCCGUGGGGAGAAGCCCGUGAAAACAUGCCUUUAAGAAAAUGAUGCAAACUGAGAACCCUGGCCCCAGAAGAGUUCCUGAGGGUCACCAGCCACAUUUGAAGCGAGCAGCUACCGGAUUGGAUAGUGCAGCCCUGCCUCCAACACGUUCACCUGACCCACGGGCAACCGAGGUCCAAGGAGGGCGUGGUCUGCCCAAGGUCACUGAGCUGAGUGGGACCAGGACCCAGGUCCCCUGACUCCAUCACAGCUGUUCCGCUCCACUUCACUGCCUGCCCUAUUUUCAUCAGGACAGCAAGCAGCGACCCAAGAAGCAGCAGUUUCAGCAGUGGAGUCAGAAGGCACAGCCUAACAACAUAUUCCUGCUCAGACAGUAAACUUCUUAGCGUUUCUUUAUUUUAUGUGAAUCUUGCCUGUGACCAUUCUCCACCACUGGAUGAUAUACAUAUGUGUGGAAAGAGUGCAUAAACGACUUUAGCAAGCAUCUAUUGAGCACCUACUGUGUUUCCAGCCCUGCACCUGGCCUUAAAGAUACGGAGAUGAAGACAGCCCAGCUCUGGUCCUCGGGCAGCUCACCUCUGGUCCAGGGAGGGCAGAGUGGUCAGCCCCUCACUUAGGGUGUGCAGAGGGUGGCGUGGGGUCUGAUACAGAGCCGUGCAGAAGUGCUGUGGGAGUGAGCAGAUUGCAUGCCUAGUGUAUGAAAACCCCAGCAAGCAGCCUCCUGGGCUGGCGGAACCAGCUGGAAGGGACCUUGGGAAAAUCCGUGGGGAGCCCACAUGUGGAGCUGCUGGGCCUCGGCCUGUGGGUGUGUGGUGUUUGGGUAACAGCCCAAAGGCUAGGAGGGUUUGUUUUUGUUGUUGAUUGGAACUGAGAGGGGCUAUUGUCAGGCAAAGCCUCAGCUUAUUGGUGUGUGGUGUUGGCUCAGGACUGUGGGGUGGGUACUUGCUGGGGUGCAGUUGCUGUCAGUAACAUCCCUUCAUGGAGCACCCAUUGCAGCAUCCCUCUCCCCCUCCUUCACACAUGUACACACUUGCACGCUCCCACACACACGUGUGCAUCGCCAGUUAUAAAAUUUAAUUUGCAGAGCCCAGGACAAAAUGAAAAUGCAAAGUCCCUUGAUCAAAAGUUAAGAAUUUUAAGGCCGCGACAGUAGAUUGUUUAGACAAGCACAGGGGCCUUCUAAUGGGCCCCGGGUGGCUGCACAGGACACACGUCGGAGAAGCUGGCCCUGCACACACACAGACACACAAGGUCCCCCACUGUUUGCACUGGCCUGUAUCUUCCCUUCUCUCCACCCACUGUGAGGGAGGCCAAAGGCAUGCCAGCUAGUGCUUUAGAGGUUUAUUAUCUCAUGUCAUCUGUCAACAUCCGAUGUCAAUAAUGGCUAUCAUGCCCACUCUCCAUAUGAGGAAGUGAAGAUGAGAAGGAAGAUCUGGGAUUCGAACCCAAAACUUACCUGAGUCCAAAGCCCAGGCUUGUUCCAUGCACACCCUGCCCCCACACCACACAAAGAGGAAUGAGCCACCUCCUUUUUUGUGUUAUUUCUGAUGUUUUUCUUUCUGUUUCUUCCUUCCUUCCUUCCUUCCUUCCAUCCUUCCUUCCUUCCCCCCUUCCUUCCUUCCUUCUUUCUUUCUUUCUUUCUUUCUUUCUUUCUUUCUUUCUUUCUUUCUUUCUUUCUUUCUUUCUUUCCUCCCUCUCUCUCUCUCUCUCUUUCUUUCUUUCUUUUCUUUCCUUUUGAGACAGAGUCUCACUCUUUCACCCAGGCUGGAGGGCAGUGGAGCAAUCUCGGCUCACUGCAACCUCCACCUCCUCAGUUCAAGUGAUUCU
rnacentral:lncRNA from 1 species